rnacentral:rRNA from 1 species
AGUAGGGAAUCUUCCGCAAUGGACGAAAGUCUGACGGAGCAACGCCGCGUGAGUGAUGAAGGCUUUCGGGUCGUAAAACUCUGUUGUUAGGGAAGAACAAGUGCUAGUUGAAUAAGCUGGCACCUUGACGGUACCUAACCAGAAAGCCACGGCUAACUACGUGCCAGCAGCCGCGGUAAUACGUAGGUGGCAAGCGUUAUCCGGAAUUAUUGGGCGUAAAGCGCGCGCAGGUGGUUUCUUAAGUCUGAUGUGAAAGCCCACGGCUCAACCGUGGAGGGUCAUUGGAAACUGGGAGACUUGAGUGCAGAAGAGGAAAGUGGAAUUCCAUGUGUAGCGGUGAAAUGCGUAGAGAUAUGGAGGAACACCAGUGGCGAAGGCGACUUUCUGGUCUGUAACUGACACUGAGGCGCGAAAGCGUGGGGAGCAAACAGGAUUAGAUACCCUGGUAGUCCACGCCGUAAACGAUGAGUGCUAAGUGUUAGAGGGUUUCCGCCCUUUAGUGCUGAAGUUAACGCAUUAA